CCUGAAUUGUCAAAGAGAGACUUCGUGUACUUUUUUUGGUUAUAAUCCGAGUUUGAAUAAGUGUCGUGUUCACAAGAGAACCUUUACAUCCGGAACAUUGGAGGAGACAGGAUGGGAGUACUUUUUUCUUAACCGCCUCCCUGUAGAUUGUAAAGACCUGCAUGACAACGGUAACACUGAUACAGGGGUGUACAAAAUUUAUCCCUUUGAGGACAAUUCCCUCCCGAUCCUAGUGUACUGUGAUAUGAACAUAAUGGAAGGAGGAUGGACGGCAAUUCAGAAACGACAAGAUGGAUCCCUGAGCUUUGACCGAAAUUGGACGGAUUAUAAGACCGGCUUUGGUUCACCGGAAAAGAACCUCUGAAUUGGAAAUGACGUAAUUCAUCGGUUAACAAAGGGAAAUAACUCCUCUCUCUAUGUCUCCAUCACACUAGUGAAUGGCACUACACUGUACAAAACAUACGAUCAAUUCGCUGUUUCCGAUGAAGCACAGAAGUAUCAACUAUUCCUGGCGGGACCCGGCACAGGAACCUUAGGUGACAGUAUGUUGGACUACUCAUGGAAUUCUCGCUCUAUGCUGUCUGGGAUGUACUUUACCACCUUUGACAGGGACAACGACAGACGGGACCGACGUAACUGUGCCACUUACGGUAACUUCAGAGGGGGGUGGUGGUUUAACGAAUGUGCACGUGCCUUCCUUAACGGUCAAUGGUCCCUAGGAAAGUGGGCGCCUUGGAAUUUCCAAAUAACCAAUGGUACAUAUGUGACGAGAACAAUGAUGCUGAUUAAACGCCACUAGACAAUUAUUCAAAGGAUUAGAUCACGGAUUGGCAGCAACCUAUCAAUAUGACAAAAGACACUUUGUAGUCUUUGUUAAUGUCGAUCAAGGAAUUCCAUUCAAUCUUUUAUUGACACAAUACUUUUAUAUCAAGUGAGGAAACAUAAAUAAUAAUGUAUUUGUAGGACUCCUGU